GGGCGAUUAGCUCAGUUUGGUUAGAGCGCCACGUUGACAUCGUGGAGGUCGAUGGUUCGAGCCCAUUAUCGCCCACCA
rnacentral:tRNA from 1 species